GACGAACGCUGGCGGCGUGCCUAAUACAUGCAAGUCGAACGCAGUGGGGACGGGUGAGUAACACGUGGGUAACCUCCCAUCAGAAGGGAUAACACUUGGAAACAGGUGCUAAACCGAUACUGAUGGAUGGACCCGCGGUGCAUUAGCUAGUUGGUGGGGUAACGGCUCACCAAGGCCACGAUGCAUAGCCGGCCUGGGAGGGUGAUAGGCCACACUGGGACUGAGACACGGCCCAGACUCCUACGGGAGGCAGCAGUAGGGAAUCUUCGGCAAGGGACGAAAGUCUGACCGGGAAACGCCGCGUGAGUGAAGAAGGUUUUCGGAUCGUAAAGCUCUGUUGUUAGAGAAGCGGUAUCUAACCAGAAAGCCACGGCUAACUACGUGCCGGCAGCCGCGGUAAUUC
rnacentral:rRNA from 1 species